rnacentral:rRNA from 1 species
UACGGGGGGGGCAAGCGUUGUUCGGAAUUACUGGGCGUAAAGGGCUCGUAGGCGGCCAACUAAGUCAGACGUGAAAUCCCUCGGCUUAACCGGGGAACUGCGUCUGAUACUGGAUGGCUAGAGGUUGGGAGAGGGAUGCGGAAUUCCAGGUGUAGCGGUGAAAUGCGUAGAGAUCCGGAGGAACACCAGAGGCGAAGGCGGCCUACUGGGCUGCACCUGACGCUGAGCCGCGAAAGCCAGGGGAGCGAACGGG